UAUUAGCUGAUAACAAAAUCCCUAAAAAUCAAACUAUUGUUUCCUUUCUAAAUGUAUUUAUAGAGCAUAUGCUGUUGCUUUUAUAAAACACACGUAACAGCUUUGUUUUAAAGGUAAUUAAAACCUUUCAGUGGUCAGGUGAUUCCUUAAGCAAGAAGCUGAGGGAUAACAGAUUAUCUUAAGAAUGAAAUUUGUCUUGUGUUGAUGGGACAUUUGGGGGAAAGGAGAAAAGAACGGUUCUUGAGCUGGUGACUCUUGGUCAUUGGUUCAAGGCCUCCUGCCCCAGUGUUGUCCUCAGGAGUUCACUUCAAUCUUUUCACACUUUAUGAUGCAUUUGUCUCAUCUCAUGCUCCUCUGCACCUGUCAGAGAACUCAUUGCUGUCUAGGAUCCCUUCGUCAAAAUUUUAUUUGAGAUUGAUAAUGUUAGUUUAGAGGAAUCCUCCAUCUCAAUAUAGUCUCAGACUGCUGUCACCAAGCGUGAGAAAACUGGAGCAUUAAGAGCCAGGGACCUCUGCUCCAAUGCUCACUCCAUCAGACAUCCCUCCUCGGUUCCAAGAGAGAAGUUCUCUUCGGCCACCCAUAGUAAGCGCUAUCUUUCAGGUGACAUGUAGUCCUUGGAAGGCAAAUAGGAUGGGAUGUGAGUUCAUUUUCUAUAAUUAAUUCCCAACAAUUCCGCCCCUAUCUGCCAUAAAGCCUGAAAGUCCCCAAGUGAUGAGAUUUCCCUUUUUACUCUAGUUGAAGUUUCCUGGAGGGAUCCAUAUGGUGGCAAAUUGCUUUUGCAAUGGAAACUGCUUAGGCAGCAAGAGGAACAGCUUCUCACAGCCUUGGAGAAAAUGCCUCCCUUUAAUAAUGAUGGAAAAGACUCUUCUGCUUCCAAUUUAUUUGCUAAAUCACUCCCAUGUGUAUUCAGGAACUGUUAGAAAAAAGAUCCCUAGUGUCCAGUUGCACCUGUGGAUUUUGCCUAGUUGAAUGACUGUCCUGGCCACUCUGGAAAUUGCAAACCAGUUUUCUCGAUGAAUACGUGGACCUCAGUGCUGCCAAGAAACCAAGGUGACGUUUUAAAUUUUUCCUCUUCCCUCACCUUUAAUGCUUUCUGAUAGUGAUUUCACACUGAAGUCAUGUGGUACCACUUGUUAAUUAAAAAAAAAAAGGCUUCUUUUUUUUUUUUCUUAGAAAGAAGUGUUGACAGCAGGAGAGGUCUACAAGAAGCAACGAUUCUGGAAACUUCUGUCAAGUGACAGCAAUUGAUGGGAAAAUUUGAGGAGUUAGAAGUGCUUCACGUUAGCUGUGCAAAGGACAAGUGCAGUCUGUCAAAUUGGAGGCUGGUUUGGUGUGGAGCACUAAUUACUGUCUUUGCUGGUCUUUGAUGGAGAUCACAGUAAUGACUUGGGAGGAAUUACAUCUCAUUUCUUUUGGCAGCAGAGAAGUGAUUGCUCUCAAGGAGGGAGAAAAUUCAAAGAUUGAGGUUAUAAAGGUUAGCGCUAAGCCGAUUAAUUAUUUUCUGUUUUGAAUUUUUAAAUAUCUUAGAUUUUUUUCUUUUAUUCUAACAUUUCACCAUAUGAUACUGAAAAGGAAUCUGUCUUCAGCUCAAGAAUCGUGACAUUUCCCCAAAGAUCACUAUGUUCCGAAGAAGC
rnacentral:lncRNA from 12 species